rnacentral:rRNA from 1 species
UGGCUCAGAACGAACGCUGGCGGCGCGUUUAAGCAUGCAAGUCGAGCGGCAAGGGCCUUCGGGCCCCUAGAGCGGCGGACGGGUGAGUAACACGUGGACAAUCUGCCCCCCGGCCCGGGAUAGCCCAGGGAAACCUGGAUUAAUACCGGAUGAGACGGGACCCGCGAUGGCGGGACCCGGGAAAGGCGCUGCGGCGCCGCCGGGGGAUGAGUCUGCGUCCCAUUAGCUAGACGGCGGGGUAACGGCCCACCGUGGCGACGAUGGGUAGCCGGCCUGAGAGGGUGGACGGCCACAUUGGAACUGAGACACGGUCCAGACUCCUACGGGAGGCAGCAGCUAAGAAUCUUCCGCAAUGGGCGAAAGCCUGACGGAGCCGACGCCGCGUGAACGAAGAAGGCCGUGAGGUUGUAAAGUUCUUUUCGGGAGGGGGAACAACCGUGGCAGGGAAUGGCCGCGGGAUGACGUGAAUCCCGGAAUAAGCCCCGGCUAACUACGUGCCAGCCGCCGC